rnacentral:rRNA from 1 species
UACGUAGGGUGCGAGCGUUAAUCGGAAUUACUGGGCGUAAAGCGUGCGCAGGUGGUUGUGUAAGCUUGAUGUGAAAUCCCCGGGCUUAACCUGGGAACUGCAUUGGUGACUGGCAGGCUUUGAGUGUGGCAGAGGGAGGUAGAAUUCCACGUGUAGCAGUGAAAUGCGUAGAGAUGUGGAGGAAUACCGAUGGCGAAGGCAGCCUCCUGGGCCAACACUGACGCUCAUGCACGAAAGCGUGGGGAGCAAACAGG